UGGAUCGAGUUAGCGUUUUGACCAAAGUUCCAGAUGUUCAAGGAAAAGAAAAAACUACGAUUUCAGAUUUUCCCCAAAGAAUUAACAUUUCAAUUUGGGAUUUCCAGUUCGAAUGCCAUUCCCGUAACACAAUCCUGUUCGUGAAUCGUGAUUGCUUCAAUUUUUCAAUUUCUACUCCCAGUACGAGGAGGAGGUGUCCAUCUGUAAAGUCGAAGGGGAGAUGAUUUGAUUCACAAGCCCUAAGGCCUUUAAAUUUCUUCGAAUUCGAGCUGUUAAUCGUCCGAAUUAAGGUAUCGAUGCGUUCUAUGAUUUAAUUUGUUGAUGCAGACCACUAUUUCCACGCGAAGAAUGUCGAAUUUGAUUGUGUGAACCUUCGAUUUCCACGUUCAGAGAUCCGACGAAGCUCGUACUCGAUGGUUCCUUUUAAAUCCUUCGUGAAUCAGUCUUCUUCUCCCUCUCCCUCUUCCGAUGACGGCGGGUCUGCAAGUGAUUUCACUUCGUGGUAUGGUAAUAUUCAAUACUUGUUGAAUAUUUCGAUCAUUGGUGCCUUCUCGUGCCUCUUCAUAUUUCUAUUUGUGAAGCUUAGAAGCGACCACCGUCGAAUUCCUGGUCCUUCUGGAUUGGUUACAAAGCUUCUUGCGGUGUGGCACGCGACUUGUCGGGAUAUUGCGCGCCAUUGUGGUGCCGAUGCCGCGCAGUUCCUUUUGAUAGAAGGCGGGAGCUGUGCGGUUCUACUAUUGAUUGCGAUUUUGUCGGUUUCAGUGUUGCUUCCGCUUAAUCUCUAUGCUGGACAGGCUGUAUUGAACGAUCAGUUCUCGAAGACUACGAUCAAUCACAUUGAGAAAGGUUCGGUUUUACUUUGGGUGCAUUUUGCUUUUAUGGUUGUUGUUGUUGUUUUUGUGCACUUUGGUAUUUCUGCCAUUGAAAAGAGGUUAAAGAUAACUAGAUUUAGAGAUGGGAAUGGGAAUUUAAGUGAUCCCGCUGCUGAUUCCACUGCCAUUUUCACUAUAAUGGUGGAAGGGAUUCCCAAAAGCCUAGAGGUUGAUAGGGCCGCGAUAUUAGAGUAUUUCCAGCAUAAGUAUCCUGGCAAGAUUUAUAGGGUCAUAAUGCCUAUGAAUUUGUGCGCUUUGGAUGAUUUGGCCACAGAAUUGGUCAAGGUUAGGGAAGAAAUAUCACAGUUGGUAGAACAAAUGCAUUCUCGUCUUGCACCCGAGGACGAAGACGAUGAAUUUAGAAGCGAUUGUUUGAAGGUUUUAUUUUGUUGGAUUCGUUGUGUUUGGAGGAGAGUAAAAGAUCUGUGGUGUCAGAUAAUAGACAAAUUUGGUUACACAAAUGAGGAGAGACUAAAACGGCUGCAAGAAUUGAGAGCCAACUUGGAAACUGAACUGGCUGCUUACAAGGAAGGGCGUGCACCUGGAGCUGGGGUUGCUUUUGUUAUGUUCAAGGAUAUCUAUGCUACCAAUAAAGCAGUUAUGGAUUUUCGAAAUGAAAGGAAGAGACGAAUUGGGAAAUUCUUUUCGGUCAUGGAGUUGCGUCUUCAAAGAAACCAAUGGAAAGUUGAUCGGGCACCGUUGGCGACUGAUAUUUACUGGAAUCAUUUGGGAUCAACAAAACUAUCAUUGAGACUUCGAAGAAUAUUUGUGAACACUUGCUUACUGUUAAUGCUUUUGUUCUUUAGCUCUCCUCUUGCUGUGAUCACGGCUGUUAAGAGUGCCGGGAGAAUUAUCAAUGCCGAAGUGAUGGAUAAUGCUCAGUCAUGGUUGGAUUGGGUGCAAAGUUCUAGCUGGAUUGGCAGUCUUAUCUUUCAAUUCCUGCCCAAUGUUAUCAUCUUCGUGAGUAUGUAUAUAAUAAUUCCAUCAGCUCUUUCUUAUCUUUCUAAGUUCGAACGACAUCUUACCGUAUCUGGGGAGCAGAGAGCUGCACUUUUGAAGAUGGUUUGCUUUUUCUUAGUAAACCUCAUCCUUCUGAGGGCUCUGGUUGAGUCAUCCUUAGAGAGUGCACUCCUUGGGAUGGGACAGUGUUAUUUGGAUAGUGAAGAUUGCAAGAGAAUUGAGCAGUACAUGAGUACAUCAUUCCUUUCAAGAUCAUGCCUUUCGUCCGUUGCUUUUUUAAUCACGAGUACGUUCUUGGGCAUAUCUUUUGACUUAUUGGCUCCAAUACCAUGGAUAAAGAAGAAGAUUCGAAGGUUUCGAAAGAACGACAUGCUCCAGCUGGUUCCUGAACAAAGUGAAGAGUACCCAUUUGAGUACCAGGAAAUAGAUAGUCUUGAGAGAUCAUUACUACCAGAUACCUCCCCUAGACUGAUCGAUAUGGAUAUGCAGGGACAAGAUCUUUCCGUUUAUCCCGUUAAUAGAACCUCAACUGCACCGAAACAGAAAUUUGAUUUUGCGCAAUAUUAUGCAUUCAAUUUAACAAUAUUUGCCCUCACCAUGAUAUAUUCUUCAUUUGCUCCACUGGUGGUUCCGAUCGGGACAGCAUACUUCGGAUAUAGAUAUGUUGUCGACAAGUACAACUUUCUAUUUGUUUAUAGAGUAGGUGGCUUUCCCGCCGGCAAUGAUGGGAAGUUGAUGGAUACAGUUCUUGGGAUUAUGCGAUUCUGCGUUGAUUUAUUCCUGCUCUCCAUGCUCUUGUUCUUCUCGGUAAACGGGGACUCAACGAAGCUGCAAGCGAUAUUCACACUUGGGUUGCUAGUUGUGUACAAACUAGUUCCUUCUUAUGAUGAUGGAUUUCAAAGAAUGCACUUGGAGGGCAUUCAAACAGUUGAUUCAGUUAUAGACGGACCCAUCGAUUAUGAGGUCUAUUCUCAACCUAAAUUUGACUGGGACACAUAUCAGCCAUGAUCUCGGCUUUGGCAUGCACUCACACUUACGUUAGCUGAAUUGUAUCUUGCACUCAAUUGGGACUGUGAAUUAUCUGUUGCUGGCUAGAAAUGCAUUCAUUUUCAACCCAUAAUUCUGCUCAGUUCUUGGGAUCGACAUAAAGAUGCACGCCAAGGGAGCCAGUCUCAUUCCUUAUGAUUAAAACACAUGGCCAGUAGCCAAAGCCUCUUUUUGAUUGACUGGUAGGUGCUGCAGCCGAGAUCUGAUGUUUUUUCUGUCAUUUUUAGACUACAAUUUUCUCUCUGGUAGUUGAGAUCUGUCAUUUCAUAUGCUAAAACAUUAGCAUUUCCGAAAAGAACAGAAAACAAUUAGUGUUGGGAUUUGUAUGUUUUAAAUACAGUUAGUUGUAAAUUGUUAACCAAGUUAGUUCGCACUUGUCGAUUCUACGGUUGAUUGAUUAUGUAAAUUGCAGAUUGGUUUAUUAGUACUUUGUAAAAUGUGCACUUUUCUA